rfam:Felis catus isolate Cinnamon breed Abyssinian chromosome A2, whole genome shotgun sequence.
GCCUGGGUGGCUCAGUUGGUUGAGCGUCCGACUUCGGCUCAGGUCAUGAUCUUACAGCUCAUGAGUUCAAGCCCCAUGUCGGGCU